rnacentral:rRNA from 1 species
UACGUAGGGUGCAAGCGUUGUCCGGAAUUAUUGGGCGUAAAGAGCUCGUAGGCGGUUUGUCGCGUCGGCUGUGAAAUCCCGAGGCUCAACCUCGGGCCUGCAGUCGAUACGGGCAAACUAGAGUGUGGUAGGGGAGACUGGAAUUCCUGGUGUAGCGGUGAAAUGCGCAGAUAUCAGGAGGAACACCGGUGGCGAAGGCGGCGAUCUGGGUAGAUACUGACGCUGAGGUGCGAAAGCGUGGGGAGCAAACAGG